rnacentral:ncRNA from 1 species
AGGAGGACGGGAGGCUUUGACGCGCGGCCCAGACCCUGGUUCGCCAGGACCGCGCCGAGCCACUGGCGAGACCGACCCGUUAUCG